rfam:Myotis brandtii contig263601, whole genome shotgun sequence.
GGUGGUUCUCAGGUGGUGCACCCCCUAAUCAGGCUUCCUCCUCUCUGGUUCCCAGUGCGUCACCCAAGAACUCCA